UCCCUGUCUUAACUAUUUCAUACAUCCUGU
rnacentral:piRNA from 1 species